GGCCGACUGGCCUAAUGGUUAAGGCGUCAGUUUCCGGUUCACGGAAUGAGCUGAAGAUUCUGGGUUCGACUCCCAGGUUGGUCG
rnacentral:tRNA from 1 species